CCUACGGGGCGCAGCAGUGAGGAAUAUUGGUCAAUGGCCGUAAGGCUGAACCAGCCAAGCCGCGUGAAGGAAGAAGGAUCCAUGGUUUGUAAACUUCUUUUAUAGGGGAACAAAAGUAUCCACGAGUGGCUAUUUGCAUGUACCCUAUGAAAAAGCAUCGGCUAACUCCGUGCCAGCAGCCGCGGUAAUACGGAGGAUGCGAGCGUUAUCCGGAUUUAUUGGGUUUAAAGGGUGCGUAGGUUGUGUUUUAAGUCAGCGGUGAAAGCUUGUGGCUCAACCACUAGAGUGCCGUUGAAACUGGCAGACUUGAGUGGGCGUGAGGUAGGCGGAAUGCGUGGUGUAGCGGUGAAAUGCAUAGAUAUUGCGCAGAACUCCGAUUGCGAAGGCAGCAUAC
rnacentral:rRNA from 1 species